rnacentral:lncRNA from 1 species
CUUUUUAAAAAUUCUUAGAGAGUUCCCGCUGUUUCUGCCCCAGAACCGGGCGAAAACUGUGUAUGAGGGAUUCAUUUCGGCUCAGGGGAAAGACUUCCACCUUAGAAUAGUGUUGCCUGAAGAUUUACAAGUGAAGAAUGCAAGAUUACUAUGCAGUUGGCAGUUGAAAGCUAUACUUAAUGGAUACCAUCAAAUAGUCCAACAGAGAAUGCAGCACUCUGCUGAUCUAAUGAGUUUUAUGAUGGAGUUGAAGAUGAUUUUGGAAGUUGCUUUAAGGAAUAGACAAGAGUUAUGCGCACUACCUCCUCCUCCCCAGUUCUAUUCAAGCCUUAUUGAAGAGAUAGGAACUCUUGGUUGGGAUAAUAUCCCGCAGAAUCACCAGAUUGUUUUGUGGAUUUUCCUGUUCCAUUUUCUAUUUCCUGGACACCACAGGGCUCCUUAAUUGUUAGAGUCUGUAAACAAGUCAAAAAUAACA